CCGCUGAACGGUGAAUCCAUGCACACCCUCUCCGACGACCUCCCGGGCACGCCAUCGCUGGCAACGGUGAGGACCACACACUCCGUCCACCAUCGGCCACCAGCAGUAGCCGGACCACCACCGUUGUCUGUCCUCUUUGAUGCAAGAUCCACGCUGCUUCACUUCGUCCAGGUUCACAUCUCCCUCUCCCCCCCUCUCUCUCUUUCUCAUGGCACUCGAUUCCCUCUUAUUUUUCAGAAUGGAAGUGGCCUGGAAGCCACUUGACUGAAUUGCCAUGUCUUUCAAAGUGCCAGUGCCAUGAUAAUUAGAUGCCUCUGUUCUUAAAUGGAAGUGGCCUGAAUGGAAGCCACUUGAUUGAAAGGCACUCGAUUAGCUAUAUUCUUACAAUCUAAGAUACUCAGCUUACAGCGCAGUAAGAACCGUAUACCGUGACUGUACGUGUUCAGGUGUUUCUCAAAAUAUUCCGUGAGAACUUGUGUGCUUCACUCACAUUGCUUCAUUCAGAACUUGUGUCAUUGUAGACGUGUGGUUCUCAUAAGCUUCCUUCCAUCAGAUGUGAUGGCUUUAACUAGAAAUAUUUAAAAUUUAAUUUACAAAUAGUAUACUUAAAGCAUCAAACUCGUGUUUCUAUAUUUUCUGCCAGGAAAUAUUGGGCAUGAAGGUUCAUAUUUAUUGCCUGUUUCUGCAUAAUUCCUUGAACACACAACUCAUUUUUAAUGGAAAUUGAGCAUUCAGAACUGUGUGUUUCCGGUUAAAUAAUAAUAUUCAGAACUGCAUCCCGUUAUAUUUAGUGAAUGAGCAUGACAUAGUAUGAGGUAUGAAAUAUUCUCCCUACUUUGAAAGAGCGUCUGUACUUUUUGUCAUUCAAGGAGAUUGAACCUGAUGCAUUUCUAUGCAAGUGAAUUUAAAUUAUGUCUCAUCUGUAUAGGAGGUAUAGCGGCCAGCGACCAGGCCAGAAAAAUAUUGUAUGUGUUAAUAUUGGAUCAUCCAAAUUGAAAUUCAGUUUAUAUUAUUCAGUCUGCAUUCUAACAAACAUGUUCUAUUUGGCAUCAUACUAUCAUUCAACUUAAAAGAUGGCUUAACCCGUUAACCAAAUUUAAAAUCUCAGGAAGAUGGUGGUUGUUCAUCCUGACAUUUGGUUUAGUUCUGGUUGACAUGCUCAGUUGCUCCACGUCUGUUAGAUAUUAAAUAAGCUGGUUCUUCUUUCUGUAAAGUUUGGCAAUUUAAAAACCUUUAUGGAGGUUUGCUUUUUUAGUUGUAUCGGGUGUUCUCCUGCUUAGUCUAAAUCAGAUAGGGACUUUAAACAUAUUUAGUUUAAAUAAUGACAUGCUUUUGUACUAUUAUUGACUUUCUUUAUCUCCUUCUGUUAUCACUAAUAAUGUUUUGCUUAAGAAGACAUCAUGUAGAUCUUCUUGCUUCGUGCAUUUUUUCAAUACUAAUCUUCUUGCUUCGUGCAUUUUUUUUUUAUUUCACUCGAUGUUGGAUGCUCUUCAUGUCCUUGAGGCCCUGGUCAUCAGCAUCGAUAGAACUAAUGGUCAGGCCUUCUGCUGAGCAAGCUCUGUAACUGCUGCAAGGGACCUUGGUUGGUGGUCAGAAUGUGAGGCUUUCAUCGAGAAGAAGACCUUCGAACAAACAAACUCAGGUUAAUUCUUGCGUACCGAGCUUAUAUCAUGUCUUGAGUUGUAUAUAUACUAGAGGUAAAGUGGGUAAUAUAUAACAUGUGAACAUUUUCAGCCUCAGGAAGCCAGCCAGUUGUAUGUCCAGUUCUCCACUAUAAAAUUGUUUGCUGCCUGUUUUCGCCUCUUUCUUUGAUAUAUAACAAUGCCUAGAACAUAAACGAGUGUGUUUCUAUAUUUACUUUCCCUUUAGGAUGGUGGAAAUUCAUAUUCUAUUCAAAAGCACUUCAUGUACAUGGUCAAAUGCUUCAGAAACAGUAGUAUGCUACUUCACUUUUUAUCUUCCUGGGGGUUCUGAUUCAUCUGUAUUAACUAAAGAAGCUUGUGAUAUUAUUUUCAUUAGCACAGUGCAAAUCAAACCGAAAAAAUGCACAUGCUUGCCCUUUGUAAAGAACCACUAUUACUAUAUAUGCUCUACUUUGUACAGAAUCAUAUGUAUAUUAUGCUUGCCCCUAAAUUGUUGCUUUAUGCUGAACCACUAUUACUAUAUUAUGAUUUGAUAUGAGAUUUGGUGCUUGAAUCAAGUAUUUAUGGAGACCAUGCCCUUAUGCAAGUCUUCAGGCCUUGCUGGGUUGUUUUAUUGUUCUGAAGGCAUCAUCAUGUGUGAUUGUAGUUACAUUGCCUCCUUCACACUUACAUCCACCAUCAAUCAGUUAGACACUCCCUUUUUUCCAAAUAAAAUCAAGUGAAUGUUGUACUCCCAAACCAAUUAGCGCAUUUCGGUUUGAUAAAUACCGUGCAUUGAUCCCUGCACUUUUGACAAAUUUAUAUUCUCAUGACAUCUCCGGUUUACUCCCGUUCUUUUUUCUGUGCUUCUCGGAUCUGGAAGCUCCAUAGAGACAUGGAACCUGUCAUCAUUUUGUCAGACUAAGCGUGGAGUUACUUGUGCAAGUUACACCAUCAGCAAACACAUGAAGACCUGCAUGCUAUCAUCGCAAGUUGAGCAUUUACAUGCUCUAAGUUAAUCUGAUAGGGAGAAAACAAAGGCUUGUGCGCCCAUUAGUAAUUUUUUGUUUUAUAAUAGUGGGCACCUUAUAUAUCUGUAACAUGUGACCUUUGCAACUGCAAAGGUGUUGGGCGAUAAAAAUUCUGUGUAACACAUGUUCUUAUACACUAUGCUUAUGUAUAGAUAUUACUCUCUUUUUUGUGGCCUUGUGUGGUAUAUAUUGUAAAUAAAUUAUCAUGAACUAUUGAGCCUUUCA